UUAUUUCCAGCCUGAGGUGAUUGGUUAAAAAUAACGUGUAGAGUUCGGAGGGGCGGAGCUAUGUGCUACGGAAAGCCCCGAGGCUCAAGUGCGGCCGGGUGGGCGGAGGGUCUGUGACCUGGAGGCCCGCCAGAGGGAGCUGGGUCUACAGCGAAGGGCACCGCUGGAAUUGCGGUUCUCCCACGGGGGUGCGGGGCCAACGUGGACUGUUUCUAACAUCUCUGGCCUUCAGCUCCAGAUGAGCGCGGUAAAGCCAUAUUGGAAUGAAAAUUACAACUAAGCGCCAAACAAGAUGCUGGGCACAGGUUCAAACAUGUGAGGGAUACCCGCCUGGCUGUUCUCCAAAGCAGUGCCCUGGACACUCCUUUCAUAGCACCUACCACAGCCAUCAUUUUAGCCUCAUGUGCGGAUUCUGUUAAUAAAUUCAACCCUCUACCUCAGAGUGAGUCAAAAUGACUUAAGGGAUGUGCUCAGAUGUUUUAGGAAAAGAUCCCUCUGUGCCUCAGAUACUCCCCCCACAGCUCGGGAUACACAGCAGUGGUGGAAACCUUUCUCCACCAGGCAAGACGUGUGUCCUGACCUCCCACAAGCAGAAAUGUCAAGCAUGAAGGACAAGACCACUCCUGUGGCCCUUGGCCGCGAGUGAAAACGAUGAGCUGAAAAACCACAUGCAAUAAACAAGAAGGAGCAGCCAACAAAAUCUCUUAAAAUCUCAGAAAUGUUCAAUAAACAUUUGCAGAGUGAGAAAAUAAAUAACAUUGCAGAGGAG